AGAAAUUGUAUGCAUAAGGCAGAGCUUCUAGAAUCUCACUGGCACGUGCGGAGCGCACUGCAUAAUCUCAGCUCAUUCCGCUUCCUCCCAUGUCCCAAUGCGUAGGCGGGAAGUUGCAUUUCACCGUCAAAGUUUGAGCGGAGGGUUUUAUUUGGCGAACCACUCUCUGAAACUCCCUCUCUCUCUCUCUCUCUCUCUCUCUCUCUCUCUCUCUCUCUCUC
rnacentral:lncRNA from 1 species